UCUGAAGCAGCAGGUGCAAAUAUACGAAGAAGACUUCAAAAAGGAACGAUCGGAUCGAGAGAGACUUAAUCAAGAGAAAGAGGAGCUACAGCAAAUUAAUGAAACUUCCCAAUCCCAGUUGAACAGGCUGAAUUCCCAGAUAAAAGCUUGUCAGAUGGAGAAAGAAAAACUAGAAAAGCAAUUAAAACAGAUGUAUUGCCCACCCUGUAACUGCGGCUUGGUUUUCCACCUGCAAGAUCCAUGGGUACCAACAGGCCCUGGAGCUGUGCAGAAGCAACGGGAGCACCCACCAGACUAUCAGUGGUAUGCUCUUGACCAGCUUCCGCCAGAUGUACAACACAAGGCAAAUGAUGGUGUCUUGCUCCACCUCCAGUCUGUUGCCAGGCUGGUCUCGAACUCCUGGCCUCAAGUGAUCCUCCUGCCUCUGGCUCCCAAAGUGCUGAAAUUUCAGGUUUAUCCUCAGUAAAGAAAGUCCAUCAGUAGAAGUACACACUAACAGAGAGAGACAACAGGCAACGAGGGAGCGUGGCUGAGGACCCUCUUCUUUGUUUAUACUGAGGCUUGUUUCUGCCACAAAGGCACAUCAUCUACCCUGUUAUUUGUGCCUGGUCAUGUUUUCCUUUGGCAUGAAUACGGGAAAAGGAUUCUGACAGCUAAGAUCCUGAUCAAAUUGGAGGAGCCAGUUAUUAUACAACCAAAUACAACUUCCAGUUUCCUUGAAA
rnacentral:sRNA from 1 species